CUCGGGUAUAAAAAACGACUGCAUGCUCUCUGUUUUUGAGUUAUAGGAAGUCGACCGGGUUUUAAAUUGCGACAGCUCAAAAGAGAAGUUGGUUUGUAAAACUUCAGGAUUAUUUUCACUUCAAACCAUCCAAAGGGUUUAACAGUCGCUCUUUUCUGUUUUGUAAAAGUUGCGGCAUUAUUGUGUUUGCAAAUCCAGGUGAAGAGUUUCAUGGCAGUCCAGUCUGUGAGACUUGUGACAGCCAACAUGUUGCUGAGUGUCUUCUUUCUGUCUGCAAUCUCAGCCAAUGAGAAGCCAAGGAGCGACGGCAUCCAGCAGCACUGCUGUGUGAUUGGUGCAGAGGUGGAUUCUAGGGGAAUUUUUGAGAGGAAAAGUUGCCACAUGGUGCAAAGUGAAUCCAAGUGAAUAUAUAUAGUAAGGACGCACAGAACACACUGCUGCCUCAGCACAGGAGCAAGAACCAAUAGAACCAGUUGACACAAAAUAUGAUCAUUUUGUAAAAAAGUAAAAUAAAACACUUUUUGAAAAUGUUUUUUUUGUUAGUUAAGAAUUAAAUAACUGUCUAAUAAGAUAAAGUAACAUUUGAAUUUGGCAGUAAUAAUGUUAAUGUUAAACUAUCCCACAGUGUGCACCGGGGACCCCUAGACUCGCCUUAGCUUCAGUCAUUAGAGAUAUUCCACAGAAGUAAAAGAAAAACAGAAAUGUGUUAUUCUUAUGAAAUCAUAGAAAAAUGAAAUGUAAGAUUAUUAUUUGUCCUUUAGGUUGACAGAUUUGGGGACACCAGA
rnacentral:lncRNA from 1 species